rnacentral:rRNA from 1 species
CCUACGGGUGGCAGCAGUGAGGAAUAUUGGUCAAUGGACGAGAGUCUGAACCAGCCAAGUAGCGUGAAGGAUGACUGCCCUAUGGGUUGUAAACUUCUUUUAUAAAGGAAUAAAACGAGGCACGUGUGCCUUUUUGCAUGUACUUUAUGAAUAAGGAUCGGCUAACUCCGUGCCAGCAGCCGCGGUAAUACGGAGGAUCCGAGCGUUAUCCGGAUUUAUUGGGUUUAAAGGGAGCGUAGAUGGGUUGUUAAGUCAGUUGUGAAAGUUUGCGGCUCAACCGUAAAAUUGCAAUUGAUACUGGCAGUCGUGAGUACAGUUGAGGUAAGCGGAAUUCGUGGUGUAGCGGUGAAAUGCUUAGAUAUCACGAAGAACCCCGAUUGCGAAGGCAGCUUACUAAACUGUGACUGACAUUGAUGCUCGAAAGUGUGGGUAUCAAACAGGAUUAGAUACCCUUGUGUC